AAUCAACGCUGGCGGCGUGCCUCAGACAUGCAAGUCGUACGAUUAAAGCUCUCUUCGGAGAGUGUAUAGAGUGGCGCACGGGUGAGUAACACGUAAGUAAUCUACCUUCGAGUGGGGAAUAACAGUCGGAAACGACUGCUAAUACCGCAUAAUGCAGCGGCACCUAAUGGUGACAGUUGUUAAAGCAUUUAUGUGCUUGAAGAGGAGCUUGCGGCAGAUUAGCUAGUUGGUAAGGUAAUGGCUUACCAAGGCAACGAUCUGUAGCCGACCUGAGAGGGUGGUCGGGUCACACUGACACUGAAUAACGGGUCAGACUCCUACGGGAGGCAGCAGUCGGGAAUUUUGGGCAAUGGGCGAAAGCCUGACCCAGCAACGCCGCGUGAAGGAUGAAGUAUUUCGGUAUGUAAACUUCGUAAAAUGGGAAGAAUAAAUGACGGUACCAUUUGUAAGGUCCGGCUAACUACGUGCCAGCCGCCGCGGUAAC
rnacentral:rRNA from 1 species